CGGGGGUGGCAACGGCCAUGGCGGAGGCGGCGGGCUCUGAGGCGUCCUUCUGCCUGCAGAAAUUUACCCUAACAGACGACUCUAAAGAUGAUUAUCAGUAUGAAGAGGUUCCAGAAGAUGAUGAAUUUAGUCUUCAGGAAGAUGAUGAGGAUCUGACGAAGGCUUUGCAGACUAUUCAAGAGCAGGCUGAAGAUGCCCAAAUUUUAG